rnacentral:rRNA from 1 species
AACGAACGCUGGCGGCAGGCUUAACACAUGCAAGUCGAACGCGUGCAGCAAUGCACGAGUGGCGCACGGGUGAGUAACGCGUGGAUAUCUGCCUUUUGGUUCGGAAUAACCCCGGGAAACUGGGGCUAAUACCGGAUGGUUCCUACGGGAUAAAGAUUUAUCGCCACAAGAUGAGUCCGCGUCCGAUUAGCUAGUUGGUGAGGUAAUGGCUCACCAAGGCGACGAUCGGUAGCUGGUCUGAGAGGACGAUCAGCCACACUGGGACUGAGACACGGCCCAGACUCCUACGGGAGGCAGCAGUGGGGAAUAUUGGACAAUGGGGGCAACCCUGAUCCAGCCAUGCCGCGUGAGUGAUGAAGGCCUUCGGGUUGUAAAGCUCUUUUGGCGGGGACGAUGAUGACGGUACCCGCAGAAUAAGCCCCGGCUAACUUCGUG